AGAGUUUGAUCAUGGCUCAGGAUGAACGCUGGCGGUCUGCUUAACACAUGCAAGUCGAACGCAAGUAGCAAUACUUGAGUGGCGGACGGGUGAGUAACGCGUGAGAAUCUGCCUUUUGGUCGGGGACAACCACUGGAAACGGUGGCUAAUACCGGAUAUGCCUAACGGUGAAAGAUUAAUUGCCAGAAGAGGAGCUCGCGUCUGAUUAGCUAGUUGGUGAGGUAAGAGCUCACCAAGGCAUCGAUCAGUAGCUGGUCUGAGAGGAUGAUCAGCCACACUGGGACUGAGACACGGCCCAGACUCCUACGGGAGGCAGCAGUGGGGAAUUUUCCGCAAUGGGCGAAAGCCUGACGGAGCAAGACCGCGUGAGGGAGGAAGGCUCUUGGGUUGUAAACCUCUUUUGUCAGGGAAGAACGCAAUGACGGUACCUGAAGAAUCAGCAUCGGCUAACUCCGUGCCAGCAGCCGCGGUAAUACGGGGGAUGCAAGCGUUAUCCGGAAUUAUUGGGCGUAAAGCGUCCGCAGGUGGCUAAUCAAGUCUGCUGUCAAAGGUUGGGGCUUAACCCCAAAAAGGCAGUGGAAACUGAGAAGCUAGAGUGCAGUAGGGGUAGAGGGAAUUCCCGGUGUAGCGGUGAAAUGCGUAGAGAUCGGGAAGAACAUCGGUGGCGAAAGCGCUCUACUGGACUGCAACUGACACUCAGGGACGAAAGCUAGGGGAGCGAAUGGGAUUAGAUACCCCAGUAGUCC
rnacentral:rRNA from 1 species